rnacentral:tRNA from 1 species
GGGCGUUUAGCUCAGUUGGGAGAGCGCUUGCCUUACAAGCAAGAUGUCGGCGGUUCAAGCCCGUCAACGCCCA